rnacentral:rRNA from 1 species
AACGAACGCUGGCGGCAUGCCUAACACAUGCAAGUCGAACGAGAUCUUCGGGUCUAGUGGCGCACGGGUGCGUAACGCGUGGGAAUCUGCCCUUUGGUUCGGAAUAACAGUUGGGAACGACUGCUAAUACCGGAUGAUGACGAAAGUCCAAAGAUUUAUCGCCAGAGGAUGAGCCCGCAUAGGAUUAACUAGUUGGUGUGGUAAAGGCGCACCAAGGCGACGAUCCUUAGCUGGUCUGAGAGGAUGAUCAGCCACACUGGGACUGAGACACGGCCCAGACUCCUACGGGAGGCAGCAGUGGGGAAUAUUGGACAAUGGGCGAAAGCCUGAUCCAGCAAUGCCGCGUGAGUGAUGAAGGCCUUAGGGUUGUAAAGCUCUUUUACCCGGGAUGAUAAUGACAGUACCGGGAGAAUAAGCUCCGGCUAACUCCGUGCCAGCCGCCGCCGUAACAC